rnacentral:rRNA from 1 species
UACGGAGGGUGCGAGCGUUGUCCGGAAUCAUUGGGCGUAAAGGGCGCGUAGGUGGCCCGGUCAGUCUUUGGUGAAAGCGCGGGGCUCAACCCUGCGUCGGCCAGGGAUACUGCCGCGGCUCGAGCACUGUAGAGGCAGGCGGAAUUCCGGGUGUAGCGGCGGAAUGCGUAGAGAUCCGGAAGAACACCGGUGGCGAAGGCGGCCUGCUGGGCAGUUUGGCUGACACUGAGGCGCGACAGCGUGGGGAGCAAACAGG